rnacentral:rRNA from 1 species
UACGGAGGGAGCUAGCGUUGUUCGGAAUUACUGGGCGUAAAGCGCACGUAGGCGGCUUUGUAAGUUAGAGGUGAAAGCCCGGGGCUCAACCCCGGAAUUGCCUUUAAGACUGCAUCGCUUGAAUCCGGGAGAGGUGAGUGGAAUUCCGAGUGUAGAGGUGAAAUUCGUAGAGAUCCGGAAGAACACCGGUGGCGAAGGCGGUCUGCUGGGGUAAUGCUGACACUGAUGCGCGACAGCGUGGGGAGCAAACAGG